AAAAAAGAAAAGAAAAGAAAAGGUUUUAGUAGAAGCUGUCUUUUCAAAAUGUAGUAUUUUCUCGCCUACCCCCAAGAAUGCAUCUUGUAUUUCCAAAGGCCCCGUGUCAAGCUGUUGUAUCAGUCAUCCUAACACAUGGUCUCAGACAGUGAUUGCAAGGAGAGUCAAGGGCUUGAUUUGUCCCUACUACAUAGCACAGCUUGAAAUCUUAAGAUCCUUCGUAUCCUGGGUUCGCAUUCUCUGCUUUGCCACGUUGCCACAGACUGAGCAUUUCACAUUGAGGUCAUCCAGCCCUUGAUGCCAACUGACUUCCAGCCCUUGUUUGCAGCUGGCUUUCAAAGCCUUCUCCGGGCAGUCUACUGUGGUCAUGUCCAUCACUCAGAUAAACAGCAGCAGUGCGUAUGUUCUGUAAAUAGCCACAAGUGAGACCUGAAAUCAGCCUCUUUCAUCUGAAUCCAGGGGCAGCAAGCUGAGGGGUCUUUGGGCUGCUGGGCUGAUUCUAUAAGAACCCCUCUGGUUCGGAGCUGCAGGAGUCCCUCCCAUUUAUAUUGGUGUUCCUCUUUUACCAUUUUGGCUUCUUGCUCAUACCUAUUUUCUCUUAGUUCCAAUCUCAGCGAAUGGAAUAGAUUCUACAAAGUCAAGCAGAAUAUUCCCUCUUGUCUGACUUCUCACAAGUAUGCUAAGAAACGUACAGCUUCACCAGAUGGGCUCGUGGCAAAGUGGGAAAAGAUAUGUACAAGCACGACUACAGCACCAACCUGAUUGAAGACACAAUCACUAAACACAAGCCUGGAUUAUGGCAGUCAUCUUCUUCCCAGGGUUUCUCAAGCCAUCUG